AGCAGGGAAAUGAGCUGGGAUCUGGUUUUCUCCCUGACAAGGGUGCCCUGAGAGGACAUGUGUGCUGGGUGUGGAAAAAAGGGCAGCUGUUUUGCUGUUGUUCUGACAGGCAGCGUUUGAUUCACACGAUGUCAGUGUUCCAGGCGGUAAAGCUUUCCCUUCCAAACUGCUGCUGUAUACAGAAGCAUUUGCAGCAGAGAGAUGAGCUAUCUCCUUCUCUCCAUCUCAAUGACACUGUCUCCAUCCCCUGCAGCCAUCCUUCCUCUAGUGUUACAACAGCCCUUCCUGUGGAUGUCUAUUUUUGGCAACUAUCACUUAAAGGACAAUAAAGAAACACGGACAGAA